rnacentral:lncRNA from 1 species
ACAGUAUCAAAUUCUACUCAGAGGUCAAGAAAGAGAAGAACUUUGGAAUGUCCAUUGGGUUUGUUGAGAACAGCACUCAGCACAUGCCUGGCACAAAUAUUCGUUAGUGGGACAAAUGAAUGAAUAGGUUGCCUCAAGUUGUGGGAGGCCUCCACCAAUGACUGGACAAUCUCCCUGGAGGCAUCAGGACCAAAGGAAGCUCGGUGACCAAAGACUGAUGACUGCCAUGUUGUGAGCUGCCCUGUGGAGAGGCUCAUGUGACAAAGGACUGAGGGUGGCCUCCUGCCCACUGGUGUGGAACUGGGGCCCUCAGUGCAACAGCCCAUGAGAAACCGAAUCUCCCAACAAUCAUGUGAGUGAGCUUGAAAGCAGAUUCUUCCCCAGUGGAGCCUCGACAUGACUGUGGUUCCAGCUGAUACCUUGCUAGCAGCCUUGGGAGAGACCCUAAGCCAGAGGAUGCCAUUAAGCCAUGUGGGGAUUCCUGACUUGUAGAAACUAUGAGAUAAUAAAUGUUGUUUU